GACGAACGCUGGCGGCGUGCUUAACACAUGCAAGUCGAACGGAAAGGCCCUGCUUUUGUGGGGUGCUCGAGUGGCGAACGGGUGAGUAACACGUGAGUAACCUGCCCUUGACUUUGGGAUAACUUCAGGAAACUGGGGCUAAUACCGGAUAGGAGCUCCUGCUGCAUGGUGGGGGUUGGAAAGUUUCGGCGGUUGGGGAUGGACUCGCGGCUUAUCAGCUUGUUGGUGGGGUAGUGGCUUACCAAGGCUUUGACGGGUAGCCGGCCUGAGAGGGUGACCGGCCACAUUGGGACUGAGAUACGGCCCAGACUGCUACGGGAGGCAGCAGUGGGGAUUAUUGCACAAUGGGCGGAAGCCUGAUGCAGCAACGCCGCGUGCGGGAUGACGGCCUUCGGGUUGUAAACCGCUUUCGCCUGUGACGAAGCGUGAGUGACGGUAAUGGGUAAAGAAGCACCGGCUAACUACGUG
rnacentral:rRNA from 1 species